GGGCCGGUAGCUCAGCCUGGUUAGAGCAGCGGACUCAUAAUCCGUCGGUCGUAGGUUCGAAUCCUGCCCGGCCCA
rnacentral:tRNA from 1 species